rnacentral:rRNA from 1 species
GAUGAACGCUGGCGGCGUGCCUAAUACAUGCAAGUCGAACGGAGAUUGUAGCAAUACUAUCUUAGUGGCGAACGGGUGAGUAACGCGUUGGUGACCUGCCCCGAAGCGGGGAAUAACAGUCCGAAAGGACUGCUAAUACCCCAUGUGGUCUCCAGGAUUGGAAGCCUGGUUACUAAAGGAGUAAUCCACUUUGGGAGGGGCCUGCGUCCCAUCAGCUAGUUGGUAGGGUAAUGGCCUACCAAGGCGAUGACGGGUAGGGGACCUGAGAGGGUGACCCCCCACACUGACACUGAAACACGGGUCAGACACCUACGGGAGGCAG